rnacentral:lncRNA from 1 species
UACGUUUCAUUGAGGAUAUCUUCUUUUAAAUUAGUGAAGGCUAGAGAAGAAGAAUCCCAUUCUCUCGCAUAAUAAAUAUGCAUGGAACGGAGGAGCCACGUGCAUUCUAAUAAAGCGGAGUCCUGGCUUGUUAAUGCGUUAUAGGUCCACAACAAUAAAACACAAUAAUUACUAGUUAAAGAGAUGCCAGUGUUGGCCUUUUACCAACACCCCUGAACAUAUAAUUCAUAAUAAAUUUAGGAAGGCUGAAGUCGGCCUGUUAAUUAACCUAUUUUCUGCAGCGCCUGGGAUGGAGGAAACAAUUGUGCAAUCCGACAAGGCACCUUCCCAGAUGUGCACGUCUCAUGAUUGGCUGGAAGGACGCUGCAGUUUGGACUCGCGAGCCUCCCCACAGGGUCCUUGCCUGUGUUCAGACAGGUGAGAAAGUUCGGGGAGAAAUGCUUCUGAGACGCCCGUCUUGGCCUGAUCACGUAAAUCAGAGGAAAGAUCGAGGAGGAAAUUGAAGAGGAAAGGGGGUUACUGAGACUUAAAUAGGACAUCGUGUCUCAAGUGCAGAAGAAUGGGGAGACAGACAAUGAGCUCAAAUUAAUGAAGUCCUCCAACGCAGAAGGCGCGGGGCAAGGAGCUUGGGGAUGUUCGAGGUGUAUAGCCCAAGGUUAUACAGCCGAGCCGAAGAGCCUUACGACACAGUGCCCUCCGGCAGCUGGUGAGGUCAGAA